rnacentral:rRNA from 1 species
GAUCCUGGCUCAGGAUGAACGCUAGCUACAGGCUUAACACAUGCAAGUCGGGGGGGCAGCAUGGACCCAGCUUUGCUGGGUUUGAUGGCGACCGGCGCACGGGUGAGUAACGCGUAUCCAACCUGCCCUUUACUCCGGGAUAGUCUCCUGAAAGGGAGUUUAAUACCGGAUGUGUUUGUCUUUCCGCAUGGGAGCGACAAAUAAAGAUUGAUUGGUAAAGGAUGGGGAUGCGUCCCAUUAGCUUGUUGGCGGGG